GGGAGACUUGACAGGUAUUUCAUUGAACCUUAGUUGAAAUCUGUAGUUUCCCAGGCCCUGCCUCCUUCCCCAGUCUGGGGAUGAAGAUAGGAAACACCUGCUAAUGACACCAGAGACAGAGCAAACAGCAAAAGUUGUGUGUCAGCAGAAAUCACACUGGAAGCCUGGCCUCCCUAAUCCAGAUUCAGUCCACCUAAUGGUGGUUAGUAUAUAUGGAGCAAUAGGAUGGUGCGUUCAUUUAAUUGGCAUAAAUUUGAACUGCUGUGAAUAUUCUGAAGUGACAUACCCACGAAUAAGGUGUCUCCCUGCUGACAAGGACCGCACCAGUAAAUGGACAGGGAACUCCAGGCUGAUGCCACUUCUGACUUUCCACUGGCUCACCAAGGCUCAGAUGACUGACUUACACGAAACUCCUCAUAGAUGCAAGAAUAUAUCUACACAGAAAGGUAGAUCUUGUACUUUUUGGUUUUCAGAAAAACUAAAAAUGCAAAGGCUGAUUAGCAGAUGGACAUGGUCUUUGUUCAGUGUGCUUUUGGUCUUUCAUACUUCUUGAAAAAGCAGGCUUGGUGGGAGCAGAACCACAGGCCCAGUUCUUGGUGUCUGCACACUGAUAAUGGCAACAGUGCUGGGCAUGAGAAUACAACCAGGAGUAGCAGGCUGGACCACUGUGGAUCAACGUAUUUGAGACUGCAUUUGCAGAGACGAAUAACCAAAGGAAGUCUGAGAUUGUUGCAAACAGAACUUCACUGUCAAUGACUUUUUUUUUUUUUUUAUAAGGAUUAGCAAACUUCAUGUGGAUCUCAGCCAAAGAGUUUCUUUUAGAAACUUCAAAAAUUCCAAGAUGUAAAAAAUCACCUCAGAGAAGCUCUGCUGGGGUUUCAAAAUGACCUUUGGUAAGACUGGCAUCCUCAUAAACUAGAGGAGAUGGCACGUGGUGGAGAGCAGGAGUAGGUGUAAGAAUUUCCUCAUUCUCUCAUCGCAGAGACGAGCAGUGUGAUUUUGCACAACCACAACAGCCCAGGUCAGCCAACCAUAGGGCAUUUCAAGUUCUCCCUCAGCAGGGCAAGAGUCCACCUGAAAAAGAAGCAAAGGGGAAGGAAUCUCCGUGUCCUGACAGCCGCUGCCCUAGCGUGAAUGCUACUAGGCUCUUUCAGCUCUGCAGAUAGUAGUUCUGUAAACAGGAAUUACCUUUGGACCCUUAAAAAAACAUGUACUAUAUCAUUCUGGAAUGGUGCUAAUCUCUCUAUCAUGGAGGUUAAAGCAAGCUUUCUAUUAUAAGCUCCGUGGAACACACCUACUUCCCAGCCACUCACUUGCAGGGAACAAAAUCCAGCUGGUCAAAACGCCCUGUGUGUAACAGGAUGCUAGAGCAGGAGUUUGAGGCAACGUGGGUGAGGCAUUUGGGAGCUGUGAGACCUCCAAGCUGGAGGCUGAGCCCUGGGUGAGGCAAUACUGGCUCCGUGCCCCUGCAGACGAGGCAGGGUUUUCUUUCCUUCCUUGCAAAGGACAAUGGUCUAUUCACGGACAAUACCAGCUGGAGAGGCCACUGCCUCACAUCACACCCCAAAUCCAGUACGGCCUUGCCACGAUGCUCCCCACAAGCAACUGUUCUCAUCUUCCCUAGCACCUUUGCAGUCCCUUUCCAUACGCUGCAAUAGCACUUAACAACAGCUAAGGUAAGAUUGGGCCUUGUGGUUACAGUGCCAGCGUCCCAGCCUUGGUGUCACCGUGACUGGAGCCAUGACCGGCAUGUCCCAAAGCAUAAACACUGACACCCAGGGUGUGGCAAGCUGGGGGUUAGCUGAGGACCCUCAACUUCUAUAUUUUCCUAGGGGUCUGAAGUGCACGUUGGCUUUGCUGAUAAACUUAUCAGUAGCAGAGCGAAACAUCCGUUUCAUUUGUACUGUUUACAGAGAGCCUGUUUCUCUCGUUGGUGAGUUGGGAUUGAGUGAACAGGGUGAAUCUGUUUUCUUCCCUCCCCCAGGAACAUUGCUGCUAGCUCUGAGCUGCAUGUCAGAUGGGGGAGAGAUGCUGUGCCGGGGCCCGUCCUCUGCCCCUGCACACCCUUCCCAGCCCCAACCCCUGGAGCUGAGGAAAGGCUGUGGCCCAGUGUGUGGACUCCGAUUACAUCUCCAAACAGGAGGAACACACAAUCGGUGGGAGACGCCUGCUUUCUAGCCCCUUUGUGCUCAGGGGCAGAAAUACAAAUAAGCCUCAAUGUCUUUUUCCUGCUUAUGUGAGCAGAGAUCCGUUUUUCAAUAGCAGGCCCCGGCAGAUAAGUAUUCCCUUUGCCUGGGGAAAUUUCCCUUCUCCCCGCCAUCCGGCCGCAUCACUUGGGUUGUCUCAGGGAGAGCAAGACCAUAAACUUAUGAGCGAGUUUUCGCUCCUAAAUGAAUUACAUAACAGAACCACGGCUUACAGCUGGUGUUGUGUCAGAAGGAGACCACAGAGAGAAGCGGGUAGGAAUGGCAACAAGCCUCCCGACAAGCCGCGGCAGGGCCCAGGCAGCGCAGGCCGCAGCCGCACCCGCCUUCACCCGCGCUGCACGUAACGCCACCACGUCAGACAGCAGCCCAGAGCCUGUCCAAAACAAAACUCCCGGCACAGGAGCAAUUGCCUUUCCUCAUAAACUCACCCAAAGGGCUGUUUUAAAAAUCGAUCUUUGCAAAUAGCAUUAUGGGACAAACCCAGCUCUGCGUACACCCAAGAAGUGUAGGGAGGUCCUGCAGACAGCUCAUGGGAUGAAGACUCAGACUUGAAUUUUAUUAUUUUAUUGCACGUGGAGAAUUUCCUGGGUGUUUUCUAGGUUACUUCCUUAUUACUUGGUCAAAACGUUGCCAUGUGUAAACCUUAAUUUGUCAAUAUAUACAAUGAAGGCAGUGGAACAAGUUCUUCCCUGCUUUUUCCUCCAGAGUUUGACCUGAUGACGAA